rnacentral:misc_RNA from 1 species
GCUUAUUAGAGAGAUGUUAGAAAUAGGUCCCUCUCCCAACUGUGCCACUUUCAUAAAGGGUUAUUUUCUCAUAAAUAACAUUGAUAAAGCUCUUUUUAUUUUCUCUACCAUGAAUAAUAAUGGUAUCUGGCCAAAUAUGGUUGCUCUGAACAUACUUGUGCAUGCACUCUUCAAGAGAGGCCUUUUGGAGGAUGCCAAAAAACUUCUUAAUAGUUAUUAGACGAUGAUGAUAGAAAAGCAAGAUCAGAUUUAAUUACAUCAACCACACUUAUGGAUGGUUGUAUCAAGAAUGGA